GGGCCCGCACAAGCGGUGGAGUAUGUGGUUUAAUUCGACGCAACGCGCAGAACCUUACCCGGAUUUGACAUUGAUGGAAUCUUCCAGAAACGGAAGAGUACCCCUUCGGGGGCCCUGAAAACAGGUGCUGCAUGGCUGUCGUCAGCUCGUGUCGUGAGAUGUUGGGUUAAGUCCCGCAACGAGCGCAACCCUCGUCCUAUGUUGCCAGCACGUAAUGGUGGGAACUCAUGGGAUACUGCCGGGGUCAACUCGGAGGAAGGUGGGGAUGACGUCAAAUCAUCAUGCCCCUUAUGUCUUGGGCUUCACGCAUGCUACAAUGGCCGGUACAGAGGGCUGCAAUACCGCAAGGUGGAGCGAAUCCCAAAAAGCCGGUCUCAGUUCGGAUUGAGGUCUGCAACUCGACCUCAUG
rnacentral:rRNA from 1 species